rnacentral:rRNA from 1 species
UUUAAUGGCUGCAGUAAUUAUAAUUAGUUUUUUAAUUAAAAGCUUGUAUGAAAGGUUGGACGAAAUAAAAACUGUCUUUAUUUAAUUUAUAGUAGAAUUUAAUUUUUAAAUUAAAAAGUUUAAAUUUUUAUAAAAGACGAGAAGACCCUAUAGAGUUUAAUAUUUUAUUGUAUUUAAUUAAUUUAGAAUUAUUAAUUUUAUAUAUAUUAAAUUAUUUUAUUGGGGUAAUAUAAAGAUUAAAAUAAUUCUUUAAUUUUUAAUUUAUUAAUUUAUAUAUUUUUGAUCUGUUAAUAAUGAUUAUAAGUUAAAAUUACCUUAGGGAUAACAGCGUAAUUUUUUUAGAGAGUUCAUAUUAAUAAAAAAGUUUGCGACCUCGAUGUUGGAUUAAAGAUUAAUUUAGGUGCAAAAGUUUAAAUAUUUUGGUCUGUUCGACCAUUAAAUCUUUACAUGAUCUGAGUUCAGACCGGUGUAAACCAGGUUGGUUUCUAUCUUUAUUAAAUUAAUAUAUUUUAGUACGAAAGGACCAAUUAUAAAUUAUAAUAAUUUAAUUUUGAAUAUUAUUAAAUUAUUUUGGCAGAUUAGUGCAAUGAAUUUAGAAUUCAUUUAUGUAAUAAUAUUACAAUUAAUACUUGUUUUAUUUAGAUGUUAUUUUUAUAUUGAUUAUUAUGUUUUUAUUAAUUAUUUGUGUUUUAGUAGGUUUAGCUUUUUUAACUUUAUUAGAACGUAA